rnacentral:rRNA from 1 species
GACGAACGCUGGCGGCGUGCCUAACACAUGCAAGUCGAACGAAGCUUGUUUUUCGAAAUAAGCUUAGUGGCGGACGGGUGAGUAACGCGUGAAUAAUCUGCCCUAUACAAAGGAAUAGCCUCGGGAAACUGGGAUUAAAACCGUAUAACGCUUUUGAAUCGCAUGAUUUGAAAGUCAAAUUGAUUAAGAGGUAUGGGAUGAGUUCGCGUCUGAUUAGCUAGUUGGUGAGGUAAUGGCUUACCAAGGCAACGAUCGGUAGCCGGCCUGAGAGGGUGAACGGCCACACUGGAACUGAGACACGGCCCAGACUCCUACGGGAGGCAGCAGUGGGGAAUCUUGCGCAAUGGGCGAAAGCCUGACGCAGCCAUGCCGCGUGAAUGAUGAAGGUCUUAGGAUUGGUAAAAUUCUUUUCACCGGGGUACGAUAAUGACGGUACCCGGAGAAGAAGCCCCGGUAACUUCGUGCCAGCAAGCCGCGGUAAACUGUAGUCGU